ACCCCUCGGAGGGAUCCUUUGCUCCUGGUCUCCUUGAGCCGCAUGCCAUUCUGCAGAGAGGGGUGCAGGCUGCAGCUGCACCGUCAGGUUGGAAGGGAGCGAUGGCCCACACGCACCUCACUUCCUUAAUUCCCCAGCAGAAAACCUGAAGAAGGGGUCCAGUGCCGAGCAGUCCUGAUGCGGUCACACACACCCAAGACCACCAACACGGAAGGGCGGGCCGGACAAGCGUCCUGUGCCACGCGCUGCUCCUGAGAGCUCCGGUCUGCCCAGCAGCCACGGCACAGCCAGCGUCCCCUCCCGUCUGUCCCACAGAUGGUGCCCGAGCGCCUGGUGGCACCCCUGGCACCAUUCUGAGCUCUGGGGACGGGGGCCAGCAGUUGGUGACAUUUUGUCCGGGGAGAUGAGCACUAAGCAGGACAGACAAGACAGCGUGCUCUUAGAGGUGGUGGAGGUCUGAGGAAGGAAUGCGGGAGGGUGUGGUGUUAGAGGAAGACCCCGAGAGCUGCGAGCUGGCAGCGUGGGCUGAGGUCCAGUGCCAGCCUCUCCCCAGCUCCGGGUAAUGCCAGGUGGGUCGAGCAUGACCUUGGGGGCGCUACCCCAGGGAACCUGGAAAGCUCUACAGCUCAGGACCACCUCCCCUGCCCAGGCGCCCCACCCACCCCAAGGCCACCACAGGAGACCAGGAGAUGUGGUCGGAGAGGAGUCAGGCCCCAUCAUGUGGCCUCUGAAGGCCACUGGUGAAGGGGGUGAUGGCUCCCCUGAUGUCCACGUCCUGAUCCAGAGAACCUGUGAUUAUUUCUCCUUGAAUGGCAAACAGAUGCUUAAGUGAGGGUCCCAGGAAUAUUCCAGGCUAUCUGGGGGGGUCAGUGUUGUCACAGGGUCCUUAUGAGUGGAGGAAGGACAGGACAGUGGAAAGGCGGGGGUCGAGCACCAAGGACUGUGGACAGCCCCAGGAAGAUGGAAAGGGCGAGGAAGUAGAUGCCCCCUUCAGCCUGCGGAGGAGCCACCAUCCUGCCUGGAACCUGAAUUCCGUUGCGGGUUACCCACGUGGAACCUCUGACAGCCGAAUGGUUGCACAAAAUUGGGACGUGUUGAGAAGGCCGGCGAGGACAGAGGAAUCACUCAGAGGGCCCAGAAUAUGGACAAGAAAUCCAUUAGGACUGAUGUGUUGACCACAGGGGGUUUAGCCAGAGGGCGUUAAUCCAAAACAUCGGAAUUCAAUGGGCAGGAAGGGCCAGCAAUGGGGAGAUGCUAGAAAGGCCCGGUGGGUAACUGAGUUCGCAAGUUAGUUAGAAUUCUACCGCACAGUUCUGCAGAAAACGGUCCGGUGUGAGUCUAUCCCACCCUUACAGCCCAUCAGCCUGCAGUGGGAACUCAGGAGCCUUCCCUCUCUCUGCCCCCGCCUCACUCUGUCUCUCUGUCUCUGUCUCUGUCUGUCUCUCUCUAUCUCUGUCUCUGUCUCUCUCUCUCUCUCACACACACACACACACACACACGCACACACACACACACACAUGCGCAUAUCCUGCAGCCUGCUACACCUGAAAUGUUCCUGUGGCCUGGGCAGCUCACGAGUGGACAGGACGGAGGCUCAGGAGCCCUCCCCUUGCUUCCCAAGCCCUCCUUUUCCAGGGAACAGAGCUGCUGUGAGCUCCUCCUGGCCCUCGAGUGAUGGGAGGGUGUAUCUAAAUCCCAGCCACCCAGCAGCAGGAAGACACGGACAGUCCCCUAAUUCCUGAAGAGGAUUUCUGACCGAGAUUAGGGCGCCUGGCGGAGGAGAGGUGGCAUCUUAGAAGGAGCAAGAAUGCAUGUUACCGAGGAACACCGGCAUGUUACCGAGGAACACCGGCAUGUUACCGAGGAACACCGGCAUUUUACUGAGGAACACCGACAUUCAGAAGAACAAAAGGAGGGAAGCAGGGAACAGAUGGGUGGGUGUUCGGGAGGCUCCUGGUCUCUGUGAGCAGAGCGGGCGGCGCCCUCCCUUUCUGUUUUUGAUGCAUCAGGGUAUGAUAUGAUAUGAUAUGACAGAACAUGUCAAAAACUUAGGGGAAAAUAAAACCCUGGUUUUUUUGAAACAUCAAACUAUUGCUAUCAAUAGGAACAGCAACUGUUCAAAAAUUUGUUUCAGAACUGCCAAGAAGUGAACGUUCAUGAAAAAAAAAGUAUUUCUCCCUGCUGUUUGCAAGGUGGACACAAAUGCAGACGGUAGGAGGUUGACAACUUGACACAUGUCUAAUAAAUCUAAAGCAUAAAAAGUCAACAAUUCACUGUGGAAGAAAGCAUCACUGGAAUAAAAAGUGCUACGCAAAGAAAGAAUAACCAUUAAAAAAUAGAUUUUCUGAAUUCAGUAAGUAAUUUAGCCCUUGGAGCGCCAGCCUUCAAAACAAGGAAGCUUUUUCUUUCUCCCUUUACAAGACAGAGAGACAGAGAGAGGCGAUGUUCAGCUCAGAAGGAGGGGCUGCUGCAUUAGAAAUGAGCCAGGUGAAAAGCAGCGUCCAUUGAGCAGAUGUGAGGCUCCAAGGGGCUGCUGACCGGGUCAGAGUGCAGAGCCUUCCAGAUCCCAGCUGCUCUGCAGCUCAAAGCAGGAGUGGGUUUAAUUUGACAAGUUGGUCCAGUUACAGGGAAUUCACAGAUCAUAGUCAAUGCCAAGCAGAUUUGGCCACCAACAGCCUGUCUGCUGCUGGCCAAGAGAUGGCAGUUGGAAAACCGUCUCUGCUGUCCAACCACUUGAAUACAGACAGAGAGGCAGAGACUCAAGCGAGGGCUGCAGGAGCCUUGCUGAGUGUUUAAGAAGAGAAAAGAAAGAAUGAAUCAUGUUCUUAAUAUCAAAAUAAUUAAGGAUUUUGUUUUAACCAGUUUUCCCAAGCUCUGAAUGCUCUUUUCUUCCCCACCAUGAUGAGAAUGGUGCAGAAGAUUGUAAAUGAAUCUGAAAACAAAUGGUAAUUCUUAUGCAAGUCUCACGUAAACAAAAAAAAAAAUAUCAGCAUUAAAGUUAUGAAUCCUAAUUUGUGCCACGGAGCUAAAAUCUGUAUCUUUCUGAAUUCGAGGGAUAUAGACAUACAGCACGGGGUAGCAUCUCUGUGCAGUUCAGAAAACUGACACAGUCUCUCCAAUUUAUGGGGAAAUUGACAUAAUUUUGCAAAAAUGCAAACCCAUUUGUGAACUGGGUUUUGCAUAAUGGGAUUAAUUUGGUUGACUGUCAUAUCCACUGUGCUGCAAAAGGCAAGUUAAUCACAACAUCAUCCUGAGUUUUUUAGAGAAGAAAGAGAAAGGAAGAAAGAAAGGAAAGGUAUUUCUCCCCCUUGCCUGACUAUCUUUUCAUUAAGAGAAAAUACCCAGUCUCUGGGAGGCACCUUAGGUGGCUUCAGGAAGCAACGCUAGACGAAUUCAGCAUGGAUGCCGCGUGAAUGGAGCCGACUGGCCUGCCUCCAACGAGAAAAAUUAACAGCUUUCACAGGAGCAAGAAAAAUUGCUUCCAAGGGAAGUCCACACUUUAUGCCUGGGUGCACGGACACAUUUGCUCAGAAUGCUACUGUACCUGGAGCUGAGGCUGGAGGACACGAUUUGUCACCACACUCGGUUGUUCAACCUGGUCUUCAUGGACCUGCUUUCCGCCCACAGCAAGAGUCCGCCUGCUCUGAGAAGGCAGAGUGUGACUGCAGCAGUCCACAUCGUUGGGGUGCGCAGUGGCAACAAAUAGCCCCAAAGUCCCAGGGGCCAACCACAGCCUUUACUUCUUCCCAUUACCCGUCCACACAAGAGAUAGCAAGAGCGCUGCCUGCAGUCCCAUGGAGUCCCCAGCCCCAGUCCCGCUAGGCUUGGGGAAAGCUCAGUCGGGAGGAAGGGCCCCCAGGGGUGUGGGGAACAGCCAGCUCUGAAGCCCCCAGGUCAGGGCCCUUCUAUUCACUGCAUGGCCUUGGGCAAAGUCAGCCUUCGGGCUGCCCCACCCUUAGAGGAGCCAGAGGAUUGGGAACUGGCUAGCGCUGCCACACCUCUGCCUGCACCCCCUGAGGACUGAGGGUGCAGCAGACUCUCCUUGCCUCCUUCUGUGGGACAGGCGACAUCUGGAGGGACUCAGGGCAGGAUGGCCAAUCAGCUCAACCAGCAGCGACCCGGAGCAGCCCCUGACCUGAGAGGGAGACGAGUCCUCAUGGGAAGGGCACACAGCAGAGGCUGGUAGCAGUCACAGCUGAACUCAGAUGCUACCAGGUGAAGCCAAACACGGCCAGGACCACCGGGAAUGGGCAGCGGGGGCCUGCAGGGAGUUCCAGGAGGAGCCCGUGGGGCCAGGCCGAGGCCUUCCCACCUUGCCCCGCAGGCUCCAGCACUGGUGGACACGGCGUGGCCCAGGGGCAGUGAGCAUCAGGGAGCUGCCCUGGGAAGUGCGGCAGAUGGCCCUGGGGUGCUGCUGCUCUGGACCAGACAGGGCGGCUGACCUCCCUGAGCUCUGAGGCCUCGCCAGGGAUGACUGUGGCAGAGGAACCUUCCAGGAGCCUGGGUUCCAGAGCAGGACAAUGCUCUGGUCCUGGCUCUGGGAAGUGCUCCGGUGGCCUGGGCCUGGGCUCCCCUGUGUACCAUUCUGCUCUGUGGUCUGCCUGUGCCGACCCCAUCCAUGUCUGCAAGGCUAAGGGAUGGCACUGUGAAGGGUCUCCAGUGUAGCUUUGCUCAAUACACAGUGAUCGUUGUUAGUGCAAGUGCUUCAUAGCCCUUUUAAGGACGUGACCGAUAAUUCAUUAUGUAGACACCUACUGGGGGCUUCUCAGCUGACCGCGAUUCACCCAGGAGCCCAUCCUUCCUCUGCCCUUGCCCUUUGGGAUGUGGAUGACUUACUGGGAGGUGGCUGGGUGCUUUCUCCUAUGAAUAGGCAUGGGACAGGGCCCCGGUGGAGACACAUCACUUCGGUGGCCUGUCCACAGUUCUGCUGAGGUUUGCUGAACUGCCCCACUGCCAGGACCAGGCUGGCCCCUGGGCUCUACAAACCACCCCAGUGUCCUCUCAGCCUUCCCUCUUGAUGGGGAAGCAGCAGUGGCCUGCACCGUCUUCCAAGGUAGCACUCCGCCUCUCGGGAGAGAGGACACUCAUUCCUCAGUGUGGCCUGCAGGCCAGAGUGGCUGAUGAUCAACUGGAGUUUUCUCCUAAUGUGUGCAGUCCUGAGUCAGCGAACGUGCAGAGCAGGGGCUCAGGUUAAGACCCAGACCAGACACGCACCCUGCCCACUUGCUCUCACCUCCAUCUGGAGAACCAGCCUCUGACUAUGGCUGCCACAAGGAAGCUGGGAGCUGUAGUCUGAUUUGUGGUCAGAAAGAAGGGGAGGCCAGAUCUUGGGACCUCUCUAUCUCUUCAAGUGCCUAAGACAUGGUUCCUGUGUUAUAGCAAUUUCUUUUACUACUCGAUUUAUUUUAAAUUCAGAUUGUGUUACGUAAUGUAAUACCUUUAUUCUAUGCUACAAACACACACUACCAAACAUCAACACAGAGAGGUCUUGACACAGACUAAGAUUUAGAAGAUACUGAUGCUUACGGUCUACCUGGGGGGGACUGAGUCACCACCUAAAUAUGCAGAUAUUAAAAAGUUCCCAGCCCCAGUAGCCAUGGGCACCCUGAGCACCCAAGAUGUGGUAGCUAAUCCCACCUUUAAUGGAAGCAGUCAGUUCUGUGGAGAAAUGGCGGGUUCUGGGACUGGGGCAGGAGGUCCAUGAGAUGAGCCUGGAACAUCUCCCAGCAGGAGGUAAGCAAGUGCUUAAAGAAACCCACACACCACCGUGGCAGGGAUGAGAAAGGGCACAGCGGAUGAAGCUAGGUCCAAGAAGUAUUGGGAUACAUCUGAAAGUGCCAAAUAGUUCUCCUUGGAGAUGUAUAAGCAAUUAAAUGAGGAAAAGACAAAUCUCUCACAUAGAAUUCCAGAUAAUGUAUGUGCAUGCUUCACCCUUGAAGGUCGAACCGAGGUGCCCACUCCAUCAGCACAGGCUGCUCCCAAGGACUUCCUUCCAAAGAGUAAAGCUUCAGAAAGGGAGGGAGGGUUCCGGAACUGGAGAAGCCUGACAGGUCUGCUCAGGUGGAGGGGAAGGUCAGCAGCAGCGCUGUUGGUCGCGCUGCGGUAUGCACCCUCCACGUGCGGUACUGACCUCUGUGGAUGGCUCCAAAACGCAAGUGCAGGCCAGCACGAGAGAGCCUCCCCACUCCAAGGGAAGCGUAUUCUACAGUGUUCCUGGUGGUCUUCUGAGUCGUCAAGGUGGCCAAGCAGCCUGAGAAAGCAUAAUAGCCAGAGGGACCCUGGGUGCUCAAAGUAGCCCAGUGCCCGGGAUGGGGCCUGGGACAGAAAAUGGGCUUCGGCAGGAGCGGAGGCAAUCCAGAGGAAGCGGGGCUUCAGCUGGUGGCAGGGCCUCCAGGCUUCUCCGUGAAUUCACAGGAAAAUGAGGUGGGAAUAGAGGGGAACUGGGUGUGGGGACUCCCACUGUCUGUGCAAUUUCUCUGUCAAUUUAAUUAGUUUAAAAAUAAAAGUU